rnacentral:rRNA from 1 species
CAGUAGCCACGGGAAUACGAAGGGGGCUAGCGUUGCUCGGAAUGACUGGGCGUAAAGGGCGCGUAGGCGGUUCGUACAGUUGGAUGUGAAAUUCCUGGGCCUAACCUGGGGGCUGCAUUCGAUACGUGCGGGCUUGAGUGUGGAAGAGGGUUGUGGAAUUCCCAGUGUAGAGGUGAAAUUCGUAGAUAUUGGGAAGAACACCGGUGGCGAAGGCGGCAACCUGGUCCAUAACUGACGCUGAGGCGCGAAAGCGUGGGGAGCAAACAGGAUUAGAUACCCCCGUAGUCCCUGUCUCUUAUAA